AUUAGGCGGGACAUGGAACAGUUACAGCUUACCGAGGACAUGACCCUAGAUAGGAAGGUCUGGAAGAGGCGAAUUACGGCAGAAGAGUAGGGCCAGAUUGGGUCGCUAGUGUAGGGAGUUACUUGGUGGGGGUUUUUUAUUUUUUUAUUCCUGUUAUGAUUCCGUAUUCAGUGUUCCAUGCUUAUUACGAAUCUGUGUGCUUUCCUCUGCUUUCCUCUGUUUUAUAGUCCGUAUGGGUGCCUUAUUUAUAUUAUUGUCAUCUGCUUCUGUGCUUUACUAUGUGUUUGUGUGAUAUCUUGUGCCUGAGCCGGGGGUCUUUCGAAAACAGCCUUUCUACUUCAUCAGAGGUAGAGGUAUGGACUGCGUACAUCUUACCCCCCCCAGACCCCACUAAGUGGGAAUACACUGGGUUUGUUGUUG
rnacentral:lncRNA from 1 species